GGAUGCGAUCAUACCAGCACUAAAGCACCGUAUCCCAUCAGAACUCCGAAGUUAAGUGUGCUUGGGCGAGAUUAGUACUAGGAUGGGUGACCUCCUGGGAAGUCCUCGUGUUGCAUUCA
rnacentral:rRNA from 1 species